rfam:Candidatus Magasanikbacteria bacterium RIFCSPHIGHO2_01_FTLL_50_8 rifcsphigho2_01_scaffold_9986, whole genome shotgun sequence.
GGAGAGGUCGCAUAGCGGUCGAGUGCACCGCCUUGGAAAGGCGGCGUGUCGCAAGGCACCAGGAGUUCGAAUCUCCUCCUCUCCG